AAUUGUGUCUUCUUUACCAAACUC
rnacentral:siRNA from 1 species